GUUCGCCUUCAUCACAGUGUGUGUGUGUGUGUGUUCGCCUUCAUCACAGUGUGUGUGUGUGUUCGCUUUCAUCACAGUGUGUGUGUCUGUGUGUGUCUGUGUUUGCCUUCAUUUGUACUGUCCAGGGUUUGUACGCCACAGAUUUUUUUCUAUAACUGGUUUGACGAUUUUGCUGUUGAAGCAGUUUCAAAGUAUAGCUAAUAAUGUAAUUCCUUUAUCAAUGUAUAAUCUUUAUAUAUGUAUAUAUUAUAGGCCUGUUAUUAAUAUUGCAUUAUAUUGUUAAGUGUAGCUCUCGUGACUCUCUGUUAAAAAUAAGUAUAUUCUAGCUGGUUCCUAUCUAUUUUCAUUGCAAAUAACUGGUGUGAAAUCACUGAAAGGAAGAUUUAUUGUUGUUGUAAGGAAGAUUAUGAGUCGUUUUGAAGUGACAAUUGUAGACAGUUUGCCAACCGUUAUUUCCAUCACUGCAACAGUUCAUAUCAGUUCAAGGUGUCUGAAUUCCACUGAAAUGGCAGGAAAUGCCAAAUGCAUGUUCUGAAUUAUGAGGCCUUGAAAAUACAGGCCCACAUACAGUAUUAUGCAUACGCAUACACUACUAACACAUAUGUAUACACACAAGUUGAAUGUGUUCAUUUAAAACUCUGCCAUCUAGACACAGACACAGACACAGACACAGACACAGACACAGACACAGACACAGACACAGGCACAGGCACAGGCACAGGCACAGGCACAGGCACAGGCACAGACACAGACACAGACACAGACACAGACACAGACACAGACACAGACACAGACACAGACACAGACACAGGCACAGGCACAGGCACAGGCACAGGCACAGGCACAGGCACAGGCACAGGCACAGGCACAGGCACAGGCACAGGCACAGGCACAGGCACAGGCACAGGCACAGGCGCUACAGGUUUGCAGGUUGACUGUGUAGUGUCUCCUUCAUCUACAGGUGUGCUGAUUUCCAUAAUAGUGGCAUCAGUGCUUGGUCUCAUAAUCAUCAUAACACUCUUGUGUUGCUUACUGAGAAGAAAAGGGUCAGAGACGGAGACUGAGAAAAACACAAGUGACGUUAAAAGUCAGAGGGAAGAGAAGAUCUCGAAAGUAUAGUUCAUCCUCACGGCUGCAGAAACCUGAGCAAGAAAACCGUCUUCAAAAAUAAACCUCCACCCAUCACACA
rnacentral:lncRNA from 1 species